UCCCAGACAGUCCAGUGGUUAGGAUUCUGUGCUUUCACUGCUGAGGGCCCAGGUUCAAUCCCUGGUCACGAAA
rnacentral:tRNA from 1 species